GGCCCUGGAGUCUGGAAAGGGGCCCAGGCGUCCGGGAAGGGCCCAGGUGUCCGGGAGGGGGCCCAGGAGUCUGGGAAGGGGCCCAGGCGUCCGGGAAGGGCCCAGGUGUCCGGGUGGGAAGGGGCCCAGGAGUCCAGGAAAGGGGCCCAGGCAUCCGGGGAAGGGGCCCAGGAAUCCGGGAAGGGCCCAGGAGUCCGGGAAGGGGCCCCGGC